rnacentral:rRNA from 1 species
GUACACUCCUACGGGAGGCAGCAGUGGGGAAUUUUGGACAAUGGGCGAAAGCCUGAUCCAGCAAUGCCGCGUGAGUGAAGAAGGCCUUCGGGUUGUAAAGCUCUUUUGUCAGGGAAGAAACGGUGAGAGCUAAUAUCUUUUGCUAAUGACGGUACCUGAAGAAUAAGCACCGGCUAACUACGUGCCAGCAGCCGCGGUAAUACGUAGGGUGCAAGCGUUAAUCGGAAUUACUGGGCGUAAAGCGUGCGCAGGCGGUUUUGUAAGUCUGAUGUGAAAUCCCCGGGCUCAACCUGGGAAUUGCAUUGGAGACUGCAAGGCUAGAAUCUGGCAGAGGGGGGUAGAAUUCCACGUGUAGCAGUGAAAUGCGUAGAUAUGUGGAGGAACACCGAUGGCGAAGGCAGCCCCCUGGGUCAAGAUUGACGCUCAUGCACGAAAGCGUGGGGAGCAAACAGGAUUAGAUACCCUUGUAGUCCCAUG